UCUAAUUUUUCCUCUAAAUCCUCUCCCGCGCAAACGUUAAUAUACCCUCUCAAACCCUCUCAUACCGAGAGCCCCCUCAUCCCCAGAAAUUAGGAUUAAAGAAAAAAUAUUAUUACGGCAGGCUCUCCAAAUCCCCAUGGGCAACAAAAUUGUCGUCCACCAUCAAACUUGUUGCUUUACCAUUUGAAGGAAAGGCUUGUAGAUAAUCAAUUUGAGCAUAUCUUUUUCUUAAGGUUUCGAGAUUGUUACUGAUAUUGUUCUUCUCCUUCACUUUCUUAUCUUCAUCGUCAAAGUAUUCUACUUACCAGAUAUUUGGAGAAAUUUUGACAAUGAGGAGAAGAAGAAAUUUGUGGAUUUUAUGAGGAAGAAGUUCUCUAUCCCAAAACGUGGAGAAGCGUGGAUCUUAAAGUCACUAGGAAAGAAAUGGAAAGAUUACAAAUGCGAUUUAAAAGAUGAGUAUACGCGAAAAUACAAAACUAAAGACUUUGCUAAAAAAUAGACCAAAUCGUAUACCGAGGGAUCAAUGGAGUGGUCUUGUCUGUUAUUGGCUUUCUGAUAAAGAUAAGAGACGUACCCAAGCAAAUAGAAACAAUAAGGCCAAGCAAAUGAGGCCUCACACAGGAGGAUCCCAAAGUAUUGUUACAUUGAUGAAUGAGCAGGUUAUACAAUAUGAUGUUCGAUAAUUUAGUGGGAGAAAGAUUUCAAAAUGAUGAAAAGUUGCAAAAUCAUUUGAAGACCAUCAUUCGUCUGGAUUACUUAUAUAAUGAUAUUAGCUAUUUAGUUCAAACAAUAUAAGUUUAUUUUUUAAGUUACUGUGACAUUAAUAUUUUUGAUUAGUACUUCUUUUUGUUUGUUAAGAUUUAAUAAGAUAUAUAUUUUUUGAAUUACUAUUAAUAUAUUUUCUUAUUUGGGUCA